rnacentral:rRNA from 1 species
AUACGGAGGGUCCAAGCGUUAUCCGGAUUCAUUGGGUUUAAAGGGUCUGCAGGCGGGAAAAUAAGUCAGUGGUGAAAGCCUACAGCUCAACUGUAGAACUGCCAUUGAUACUGUUUUUCUUGAGUAUAGAUGAAGUGGGCGGAAUAUAUCAUGUAGCGGUGAAAUGCAUAGAUAUGAUAUAGAACACCGAUUGCGAAGGCAGCUCACUAAACUAUUACUGACGCUCAGGGACGAAAGCGUGGGGAGCGAACAGUAUUAGAAACCCCAGUAGUCC